UACGGAAGGCAGCAGUGGGGAAUAUUGCACAAUGGGCGCAAGCCUGAUGCAGCCAUGCCGCGUGUAUGAAGAAGGCCUUCGGGUUGUAAAGUACUUUCAGUCGUGAGGAAGGUGUUAAGGUUAAUAACCUUAGCAAUUGACGUUAGCGACAGAAGAAGCACCGGCUAACUCCGUGCCAGCAGCCGCGGUAAUACGGAGGGUGCGAGCGUUAAUCGGAAUUACUGGGCGUAAAGGGCACGCAGGCGGUUAAUUAAGUUGGAUGUGAAAUCCCCGGGCUUAACCUGGGAAUGGCAUUCAAGACUGGUUAGCUAGAGUCUUGUAGAGGGGGUAGAAUUCCAUGUGUAGCGGUGAAAUGCGUAGAGAUGUGGAGGAAUACCGGUGGCGAAGGCGGCCCCUGGGACAAAGGACUGACGCUCAUGUGCGAAAGCGUGGGGAGCGAAACAGGGAUUAGAUAC
rnacentral:rRNA from 1 species